UACGUAGGGUGCGAGCGUUAAUCGGAAUUACUGGGCGUAAGGAGCGUGUAGGCGGCCAGACAAGUCUGCUGUGAAAACUCGAGGCUCAACCUCGAGCUGUCGGUGGAAACUGUCUGGCUAGAGUCCGGAAGAGGAGAGUGGAAUUCCUGGUGUAGCGGUGAAAUGCGCAGAUAUCAGGAAGAACACCUAUGGCGAAGGCAGCUCUCUGGGACGGUACUGACGCUGAGACGCGAAAGCGUGGGGAGCGAACAGG
rnacentral:rRNA from 1 species